rnacentral:rRNA from 1 species
UGGGGAAUAUUGCACAAUGGGGGAAACCCUGAUGCAGCGACGCCGCGUGAGCGAAGAAGGUUUUCGAAUCGUAAAGCUCUGUCCUAUGAGAAGAUAAUGACAGUAUCAUAGGAGGAAGCCCCGGCUAAAUACGUGCCAGCAGCCGCGGUAAUACGUAUGGGGCGAGCGUUGUCCGGAAUUAUUGGGCGUAAAGGGUACGUAGGCGGUUUAUUAAGUCAGGUGUGAAAGCGUGAGGCUUAACCUCAUUAAGCACUUGAAACUGAUAGACUUGAGUGAAGGAGAGGAAAGUGGAAUUCCUAGUGUAGCGGUGAAAUGCGUAGAUAUUAGGAGGAAUACCGGUGGCGAAGGCGACUUUCUGGACUUUUACUGACGCUCAGGUACGAAAGCGUGGGGAGCAAACAGG